rnacentral:rRNA from 1 species
UACGUAGGGUGCAAGCGUUAAUCGGAAUUACUGGGCGUAAAGAGUGCGUAGGUGGUUAUAUAAGACAGGCGUGAAAUCCCCGGGCUCAACCUGGGAAAUGCGUUUGUGACUGUAUGUCUAGAGUCUGUUAGAGGGGGGUAGAAUUCCAAGUGUAGCAGUGAAAUGCGUAGAGAUUUGGAGGAAUACCGAAGGCGAAGGCAGCCCCCUGGGAUAAGACUGACGCUGAGGUGCGAAAGCGUGGGGAGCAAACAGG